GAUGAACGCUGGCGGCGUGCCUAAUACAUGCAAGUCGAGCGAACGGACGAGAAGCUUGCUUCUCUGAUGUUAGCGGCGGACGGGUGAGUAACACGUGGAUAACCUACCUAUAAGACUGGGAUAACUUCGGGAAACCGGAGCUAAUACCGGAUGAUAUUUUGAACCGCAUGGUUCAAAAGUGAAAGACGGUCUUGCUGUCACUUAUAGAUGGAUCCGCGCUGCAUUAGCUAGUUGGUAAGGUAACGGCUUACCAAGGCAACGAUGCAUAGCCGACCUGAGAGGGUGAUCGGCCACACUGGAACUGAGACACGGUCCAGACUCCUACGGGAGGCAGCAGUAGGGAAUCUUCCGCAAUGGGCGAAAGCCUGACGGAGCAACGCAGCGUGAGUGAUGAAGGUCUUCGGAUCGUAAAACUCUGUUAUUAGGGAAGAACAUAUGUGUAAGUAACUGUGCACAUCUUGACGGUACCUAAUCAGAAAGCCACGGCUAACUACGU
rnacentral:rRNA from 1 species